rnacentral:rRNA from 1 species
GACGGAGGAUGCAAGCGUUAUCCGGAAUGAUUGGGCGUAAAGCGUCCGCAGGUGGCAGUUCAAGUCUGCUGUCAAAGACCGGGGCUUAACUUCGGAAAGGCAGUGGAAACUGAACAGCUAGAGUAUGGUAGGGGCAGAGGGAAUUCCUGGUGUAGCGGUGAAAUGCGCAGAUAUCAGGAGGAACACCGAUGGCGAAGGCAGCUCGCUGGGACGGUACUGACGCUGAGGCGCGAAAGCGUGGGGAGCAAACAGG